CAUUAUAUUUCUGGAUCUCGUAUAGUAAAGUGUUUAAAGAAGCAAUGGUCAGAAGCACCCCAAUGCAGAGUUAAUACAGGAAAAUGUGGUCAUCCACCUUCUAUUGAAAAUGGAGAUUUUAUUGAACUUGUAAAAGAAGAAUAUAAAUCGGGUGAUUGGGUGACAUACAAAUGCCAACGUUUCUACAACAUGAAAGGAAAUGCAGUAGUACGUUGUCAAGAUGGCCUUUGGUCGGACACCCCAGAGUGCAUAGUUCCAUGUACAGCAAGUGAGGAAGACAUGGAACAUAACAAUAUAAGGCUGAGGUGGUCAUGGGCUGAAAAAAUAUAUAACAAAGAUGGUGAUAUAACAGAAUUUAUAUGUAAACGGGGCUAUCGUCCAGUUGUGCCUCUUUCCCAAUUCAGAGUACAAUGUGUCAAUGGCACAUUUAGAUACCCACGAUGUCAAUGAUAUGUGUGAAUAUAAGGAAUGGGGAGAAGUGUACAAGGAAGAUUUUUCAUGAGCAUGCCAUUGUCAGAAAAGAUAGCUUAAUUAUCUUCAAUAGCUUAAAAUUACUCUAGAUUUUUGCAAACACAUUUUUCAAAGAUUAUACACAGCUACUUCUAAUGGACUGUGAACAUUUUAACAGACAUGUCAUUUUUAGAAAACAGAACUCCAAUAUUUGUAAAGGGUGAAGUUAUAGGAAGCCCAUUGUCAAUUUCCAAACAAGCAAAUGUAUUGAAAGCGGAAAAAAAUAAAUGCAUGUACUGUGAGUAUGAACUCAUAAUGGGGUUUAACAGACUAAAGAAUACAGUAGCUGUAUAUAAUUUCAGUAGUUACUUUUUGUUUGUAAAAUGUUUGUGUAUUUUGAAAAAUAAAAUAAAAAGCACCUAUUUGCAAAA